GAUGAACGCUAGCUACAGGCUUAACACAUGCAAGUCGAGGGGAAACGACAUCGAAAGCUUGCUUUUGAUGGGCGUCGACCGGCGCACGGGUGAGUAACGCGUAUCCAACCUGCCCACCACUUGGGGAUAACCUUGCGAAAGUAAGACUAAUACCCAAUGAUAUCUCUAGAAGACAUCUGAAAGAGAUUAAAGAUUUAUCGGUGAUGGAUGGGGAUGCGUCUGAUUAGCUUGUUGGCGGGGUAACGGCCCACUAAGGCGACGAUCAGUAGGGGUUCUGAGAGGAAGGUCCCCCACAUUGGAACUGAGACACGGUCCAAACUCCUACGGGAGGCAGCAGUGAGGAAUAUUGGUCAAUGGGCGAGAGCCUGAACCAGCCAAGUAGCGUGCAGGAAGACGGCCCUAUGGGUUGUAAACUGCUUUUAUAAGGGAAUAAAGUGAGUCUCGUGAGACUUUUUGCAUGUACCUUAUGAAUAAGGACCGGCUAAUUCCGUGCCAGCAGCCGCCGUAACAC
rnacentral:rRNA from 1 species